UUAAUGGGUUUGUAAAAUGGGUCAGAG
rnacentral:piRNA from 1 species